UAUUUCCAGCCAACUUAUCUUCCUAUUUUGCCUAUGGGCUCUUCAACAUGUCAUCUCUCUCUACACGGUAUUUGCAGCCAGCUUCUCCUGAAACAUUUCUGCUGACAACACUCAAGUCAAAGUGUACCUCUUCAAUGGAGGUGCAUUUUCCAACUCCCAAGCCCCCAAACACUUUUGUCUUCUUUCAUGAUCAUUCUCCUGUCAAAACUUGCACUCUGAAAAGACCUACCCUUAGACAUGUCCAGUAA
rnacentral:lncRNA from 1 species